UAACAUUUGGAAACGAAUGCUAAUACUCUAUAUGCCCUUAAGACAUAAGUCUGCAGGGGAAAUAUUUAUAGCUCUAGGAUCGGCCUGUACGGUAUCAGUUAGUUGGUGAGGUAAUGGCUCACCAAGACAAUGACGCCUAACUGGUUUGAGAGGAUGAUCAGUCACACUGGAACUGAGACACGGUCCAGACUCCUACGGGAGGCAGCAGUGGGGAAUAUUGCACAAUGGGGGAAACCCUGAUGCAGCAACGCCGCGUGGAGGAUGACACAUUUCGGUGCGUAAACUCCUUUUAUAUAGGAAGAUAAUGACGGUACUAUAUGAAUAAGCGCCGGCUAACUCCGUGCCAGCAGCCGCGGUAAUACGGAGGGCGCAAGCGUUACUCGGAAUUACUGGGCGUAAAGAGCGUGUAGGCGGGUUAAUAAGUUUGAAGUGAAAUCCUAUGGCUCAACCAUAGAACUGCUUUGAAAACUGUUAACCUAGAAUAUGGGAGAGGUAGAUGGAAUUUCUGGUGUAGGGGUAAAAUCCGUAGAGAUCAGAAGGAAUACCGAUUGCGAAGGCGAUCUACUGGAACAUUAUUGACGCUGAGACGCGAAAGCGUGGGGAGCAAACAGGAUUAGAUACCCUGGUAGUCCACGCCCUAAACGAUGUACACUAGUUGUUGUGAGGCUAGACCUUGCAGUAAUGCAGUAAACACAUUAAGUGUACCGCCUGGGGAGUACGGUCGCAAGAUU
rnacentral:rRNA from 1 species